rnacentral:snRNA from 1 species
GUGCUCACUUCGGCAGCACAUAUACUAAAAUUGGAAUGACACAGAGAAGAUUAGCAUGGCCCCUGUGCAAGGAUGACAUGCAAAUUUGUGAAGCGUUCCAUAUUUCU